GCUAUAGCUUAGUAGCAAAACAUCUGCUUUGUAUGUAGAAGGUUCCAGUUUCAAUACCUGGCAUCUCCU
rnacentral:tRNA from 1 species